UACGUAGGUGGCGAGCGUUGUCCGGAAUUAUUGGGCGUAAAGAGCGCGUAGGCGGGUAAAUAAGUCUGUUUUAAAAGUGCGGGGCUCAACCCCGUGAUGGAAUGGAAACUGUUUAUCUUGAGUACCGGAGAGGAAAGUGGAAUUCCCAGUGUAGCGGUGAAAUGCGUAGAUAUUGGGAGGAACACCAGUGGCGAAGGCGACUUUCUGGACGAUGUCUGACGCUGAGGCGCGAAAGCCAGGGAAGUGAACGGGAUUAGAUACCCCGGUAGUCCUGGUCAGAAACCCCGGUAG
rnacentral:rRNA from 1 species